rnacentral:misc_RNA from 1 species
GAUGUAGAACGUAGCGAAAUGCGAUAAGUAAUGUGAAUUGCAGAAUUCAGUGAAUCAUCGAAUCUUUGAACGCACAUUGCGCCCCCUGGUAUUCCGGGGGGCAUGCCUGUCCGAGCGUCAUUACAACCCUCAAGCUCAGCUUGGUGUUGGGCCCCGCCGCCCCGGCGGGCCCUAAAGUCAGUGGCGGUGCCGUCCGGCUCCGAGCGUAGUAAUUCUUCUCGCUCUGGAGGUCCGGUCGUGUGCUCGCCAGCAACCCCCAAUUUUUUUCAGGUUGACCUCGGAUCAGGUAGGGAUACCCGCUGAACUUAAGCAUAUCAAUAAGCGGAGGA